rnacentral:lncRNA from 7 species
GUGGUGCAUGGCCUCAUCGGGCUCUAGUCUAGUCUUACCUGACCAAGCAGGAAAAAGGAACUCUAGACACGGGUUAGUGUUUGAAGAUUUGCUCCAAAAGGAAUCUAACAGCGAUCAAAGCCUUCUUGACCAUUACCACAAGACCAGAUUAAAAGGCGUAGAAAUCUACUCGAUUGAAUUCGAUAUAAAUAAAUAAAUAAACAAAC